GACGAACGCUGGCGGCGUGCUUAACACCUGCAAGUCGAACGAAGUGGCGAACGGGUGAGUAACUCGUCAUCAACCUGCCCUUCAGAGGGGGACAACAGAUGUCAACGACUGCUCAUACCGCAUACUGAAGGAGGUGAUUGCGUCUGAUUAGCUAGUUGGCGGGGUAACGGCCCACCAGGGCGAUGAUCAGUAGCCGGUCGGAGAGGAUGAACGGCCAAAUUGGGACUGAGACAAGGCCAAGACUCCUACGGGAGGCAGCAGUGGGGAAUCUACCGCAAUGGACGAAAGUCGGACGGAGCAAAGCCGCGUGAGUGAUGACGGCCUUCGAGUUGUAAAGCUCUGUUAAUCGGGACGCGGUACCGGAAUAGAAAGCCACGGAUAACUACGUGCCAGCAGCCGCGGUAAUAC
rnacentral:rRNA from 1 species